rnacentral:rRNA from 1 species
GACGAACGCUGGCGGCGUGCUUAACACAUGCAAGUCGAACGGAAAGGCCCUGCUUUUGUGGGGUGCUCGAGUGGCGAACGGGUGAGUAACACGUGAGUAACCUGCCCUUGACAGUGGGAUAACUUCAGGAAACUGGGGCUAAUACCGGAUAGGAGCUCCUGCUGCAUGGUGGGGGUUGGAAAGUUUCGGCGGUUGGGGAUGGACUGGCGGCUUAUCAGCUUGUUGGUGGGGUAGUGGCUUACCAAGGCUUUGAGGGGUAGCCGGCCUGAGAGGAUGACAGGACACAUUGGGAUGGAACUGAGACACAGACUCCUAUGGGAGGCAGCGGUGGAGAAUAUUGCACUAUGGGCGGAAGGCUGAUGUAGUAAAGCCGCGUGGGGGAAGAGGGGCUGCGGGUUGUAAAGCGCUUUCGCCUGUGACGAAGCGUGAGUGACGGUACUGGGUAAAGAAGCACCGGCUAACUACGUG